AGCAACGCCUAGGCACAGCACUUUUUUGAGUUGGAACUUGAUAGUUGACUUAACUUCAAUAAUUUUACCAUAUAAAUCGUCACUGUGAGAAACAGGAGAAGGGAAUUUACCGGCUAUAGCCAUCGAGUUAGUAACUCUUCCUUAUCAAUCAAAAAACUGAAAGGUGAGGCCGUGCGGUUCAUUCGCUCGUAUAAACUGUAUAUGACUACUUUACAAGCAUAAUAAAAGAACUCCAGCAAACUACAUGCUAGAGCAGUUUUAUUAAUUCAUCUACAAAUCGACAAGAGCGCAAUGCAAAACAGUGGUCAAGAUAGUCCAUGCAUAUCUGAUCAAUCUGUCACACAUACCGCAACAACCGUUAGAAAUAAACUUACCUUUAGAUAAACCAGGACCCAACAAACGAGGGAUUUGCUUAAUAAGAACUUCGGAAGCAAUGAAGGCGUCAUACUUCUUUGCCAACUUUUUCACAAGCUUCUUAUUUUUAUUUAACUUUUUCAAGUCAUCAACAGACAUAGCAUCAACACCUCCGUGCUUAGCACGAUCAAGAUCAUGGGCAUCACCAAGAAUGCAUAUACUCAUGUUAGGACGGGGGACAUUGGGCAACUUGAUAGUACCAGAGAAACGCUUGUCACGCUGAGGGUCAUAGUUCUUCAAACCGAUCUGAAGCUCUACUGUCUCAGUAAAAUUACGUUUUUUCUCCUCUGAACCCUUGAGAAUGGUUUCAACACUAGAACGAAUAUUGGCAGGAGAAACUUUUGACAUCUUCAAUAUUCAGAAUGCAAUAUAACAAAAUUUAAAACGUUUUCAGUUUAACAUUAACUUCUACUAUCUUUGUGACUGUUUCUAUAUAGCUCAGCUUCAGUACACAAUGGUAUUACAACGAGA